rnacentral:rRNA from 1 species
UGGGGAAUAUUGCACAAUGGGCGGAAGCCUGAUGCAGCGACGCCGCGUGGGGGAUGAAGGCCUUCGGGUUGUAAACUCCUUUCGACAGGGACGAAGCUUUUGUGACGGUACCUGUAUAAGAAGCACCGGCUAACUACGUGCCAGCAGCCGCGGUAAUACGUAGGGUGCGAGCGUUGUCCGGAAUUACUGGGCGUAAAGAGCUCGUAGGUGGUUUGUCGCGUCGUCUGUGAAAUUCCGGGGCUUAACUCCGGGCGUGCAGGCGAUACGGGCUGGCUUGAGUGCUGUAGGGGAGACUGGAAUUCCUGGUGUAGCAGUGAAAUGCGCAGAUAUCAGGAGGAACACCGAUGGCGAAGGCAGGUCUCUGGGCAGUAACUGACGCUGAGGAGCGAAAGCAUGGGUAGCGAACAGG